rnacentral:rRNA from 1 species
AACGAACGCUGGCGGCAUGCCUAACACAUGCAAGUCGAACGAGACCUUCGGGUCUAGUGGCGCACGGGUGCGUAACGCGUGGGAACCUGCCCUUAGGUUCGGAAUAACUCCCCGAAAGGGGUGCUAAUACCGGAUAAUGUCUUCGGACCAAAGAUUUAUCGCCUUUGGAUGGGCCCGCGUUGGAUUAGCUAGUUGGUAGGGUAAAAGCCUACCAAGGCGAUGAUCCAUAGCUGGUCUGAGAGGAUGAUCAGCUACACUGGGACUGAGACACGGCCCAGACUCCUACGGGAGGCAGCAGUGGGGAAUAUUGGACAAUGGGCGAAAGCCUGAUCCAGCAAUGCCGCGUGAGUGAUGAAGGCCUUAGGGUUGUAAAGCUCUUUUACCCGGGAUGAUAAUGACAGUACCGGGAGAAUAAGCUCCGGCUAACUCCGUG